UGAUAAAGGUCACAAAAUUUGCGGGUGAUGAUGUUUGGGAAAGGAUACAGGAUGCACAAGUUCAUCUGGAUCGACUGACUCAGGAAAGAGAUGCCAUUAAUGUUCGCAAGAAGAAGCAAAAGGCUAUUUGUGAUGAGUAUCGGGGAAAAUUAGAGGCAACACGAC